ensembl:lncRNA
GAGAGCUCUGAGUACACAGUGGGGAGAGGACCACUACAGAUGGGGAAGGCAGAAAAGAAAGAACCAAGGCCACAACACAGGCGGCCGUACCUUCUUCUCGUGGUUGGGGAUGAUGCAGCGGACAAAGUUGGGGUUGGUGUUCCUCAGCGUAGCCAUCAGCUUGGCCAGCUGCUCCUUGUAGAGCUGGCCCACGGUGCGGAACAUGCCCUUCCGAGUCUUGAAGGCCCCAGGCAAUGCCGUCUCAGACAUGCCGGCCACCUGGUCCAAGCCGAUGAUUCGAUCCACUGCAGAGACCACAAAGCUCAUGAGCACCAGCAAUCCCAGCUUGGGGUGUUUGGGGUGGAAGGGGUGUAGGAGAGAGACAGACAGAAGCCAGGACAGAGAAGAGAGACAGUGUGGCGGUGCAGGGCCCUUCUGCCUGGAGCUACAGAGCUAAGAUCACUCAUGCUGAGCAGGCCUGACCUGGGCAGGGAGCAGAGGGGGAGACAGCAAAGUCCCUGGGCUCAUCUCUCUCGGGCAGUUGUGCUCCACCAAAGCCAGUGUAGUGUUCAUAUGCCCUGUUCUAUUCUCAGCCCGCUCUGGAGGCUCCCAAAGAGACACGGUAAGUCGGUAAUGAUUGUGGAACAGAGAGAAUUCCACGAGGCUCGUUCUGGGGGUGUUAAAACCCAGCUUAGAGCAUCCUACAGUCCUUGGUCUCAGUUAAACACAAAUCAGGAGAUUGAAUUGACGCUGACCUUUACCUAAGGCUGGGAGCCAGGAGGUGGGAUCAAAGCCACUCUGCCACUGUUGACGGGGCUCUGAAUGGAUGAGUCUCUGUCUGCAGUCACCUGGGCUGAGAUCUCUAAACCAGGGACCAAGAGCAGUGGUGGCGUCAUUGAGAGCUCCAAAGGACACCACUGCCCAUAAACAUUUUCUCUCCUCAGUACUGGGGAUCGAACCCAGGGACUUCACAGUGGGCUACAUCUGUGGCCCUUUUUAUUUUGAGACAGAGACUCACCAAGUUGCCCAGGAUGGGCUUGAACUUGCAACACACCUGCCGCUGCCUCCCAGGGUGCUGGGAUUACAGGCGUGCACCACCUCCCCCAGCUAGCUUCACAUUCUUAUACUUGACCUGUCUCCUGGGGACAGGCACAGCCAGGAAGAAGAGCCAAGGGGGAGGAGGACACAGCCACAGCGUCUCUUGCACAGGUCAGGGGUGCACACGCACACACACGCACGCACACGUAAGACAUCACUCCGAGCAGCCAGUCACCUGAUUCUAGGUGGAGAAUGGGAAAGCGGUGAUAGAAACAGGCUCUCUGAGUGCUCUGCAUCUCUGCAACGGAGAGGUUAAAGCAAGACCCAGGGAAGGAGAGGAGAAACUGACAGAAACAAAGAAAAAGAAAACUUCAAAGCAACCAGCCUACCAAGGAGUAGAAGGCAGAAAUGGAAGGAGGCACGGGUACUGGAGACCUGCACAGCAAAGCGUGGGGCCGCCCCAGACUUUGCCUCUGAGGAAAACACCCUGGCCAUCUGCAGCCGGCCAGCCCCGGAGGAGCCUCUGCCCCCAGAGGAAAGGGCUAUGGUGCAUGCACGGAGUGGCCUCUCCCAUGUGGCUCAGGGAGAACUUUCUGGAAGAAGCUACCGAGGAUGGAAACCACCUGGCUUGGGUCAGGGCCCCCGUUUGGCAGCUGGGUCCACUGCAGAAGAGGGGUGUGAGCAGCACAGCGAGCAGGCAGGGUGCAGGUCAAGGGCGUACCAUCCUUCCACAGCUCAGAGACAAACUUGUCGGAGGACUGGUGGAGAAGCGUGGCGAUGUUGUCAUUCAGGGGGUCCAUGUUCUUCAUCAGCCACUCAUCGGCUUUGUAAUCCACCU